AGUGAGCUUAUCAGAGGCAUGUUUUGUGUUUUUCUCUGCGGAGGCAUAGUUUGAAGGUUCCUUUUUGAGGUGCAGAGGCCCUUUACAGCAGCAGAACACACACCUGCAUAUCCCAUUUUUACAAGAAUUAUUUCCAUUCUGGUUUAGGAGGUUGUCUCCUAUGGAUCUCAGCCAUUCAGUUUCCCAAGGAGAAGGAAGUUUACAAAAAAGAGGCUUCUGACUCUACAUAAGAGUGGAUCACAGUGCUUCACCCAGGAAUGUCUCAGAUAAUUUGGCUUCCAUGAAAAAAGUUCUCUCAUUGCAGUAUCUUCACACUGUAGCAAGGUAUAAUACUCCAGAUUUA